rnacentral:tRNA from 1 species
UCCGCGGUAGCUCAAUGGUAGAGCAGGUCGCUGUUAACGACAAGGUUCGAGGUUCGAGUCCUCGCCGCGGAG